rnacentral:rRNA from 1 species
CCUACGGGUGGCUGCAGUGGGGAAUAUUGCGCAAUGGGCGAAAGCCUGACGCAGCAACGCCGCGUGCGGGAUGACGGCCUUCGGGUUGUAAACCGCUUUCAGCAGGGACGAAGGGUUUCUGACGGUACCUGCAGAAGAAGCACCGGCUAACUACGUGCCAGCAGCCGCGGUGAUACGUAGGGUGCGAGCGUUGUCCGGAAUUAUUGGGCGUAAAGAGCUUGUAGGCGGUCCGUUGCGUCGGAAGUGAAAACUCGGGGCUUAACCCCGAGCCUGCUUUCGAUACGGGCGGACUUGAGGGAUGUAGGGGAGAACGGAAUUCCUGGUGGAGCGGUGGAAUGCGCAGAUAUCAGGAGGAACACCAGUGGCGAAGGCGGUUCUCUGGACAUUUCCUGACGCUGAGAAGCGAAAGCGUGGGGAGCAAACAGGCUUAGAUACCCCAGUAGUC